ensembl:snRNA U1 U1 spliceosomal RNA
UCCCGUACCUGGCGGGGGACAGACCGUGGUUCAGGAAGGGGGUUCCCCCUGGAUGAGGCUAGUCCACCGCACUCUGGCUGCGCUCACCCCUGCGAUUUCCCCACACGCGGGGCCCUAGUCUGCGGUGGUGUUCGUGCUACCCGGGGGCUGGGUUCGCGUACGCUCCUG